AUGGGGUGCAGCAGGCGCGAAACCUCCGCAAUGCGGGCAACCGCGACGGGGGGACCCCCAGUGCCGUGGCAUCGCCACGGCUUUUCCGGAGUGUAAAAAGCUCCGGGAAUAAGGGCUGGGCAAGGCCGGUGGCAGCCGCCGCGGUAAUACCGGCGGCCCAAGUGGUGGCCGCUAUUAUUGGGCCUAAAGCGUCCGUAGCCGGGCCCGUAAGUCCCUGGCGAAAUCCCACGGCUCAACCGUGGGGCUUGCUGGGGAUACUGCGGGCCUUGGGACCGGGAGAGGCGGGGGGUACCCCUGGGGUAGGGGUGAAAUCCUAUAAUCCCAGGGGGACCGCCAGUGGCGAAGGCGCCCCGCUGGAACGGGUCCGACGGUGAGGGACGAAGGCCAGGGGAGCGAACCGGAUUAGAUACCCGGGUAGUCCUGGCUGUAAAGGAUGCGGGCUAGGUGUCGGGCGAGCUUCGAGCUCGCCCGGUGCCGGAGGGAAGCCGUUAAGCCCGCCGCCUGGGGAGUACGGCCGCAAGGCUGAAACUUAAAGGANNNNNCGGGGGAGCAC
rnacentral:rRNA from 1 species